UGUGCGUGUUGCUGAGACGCCUGCCGGGGCUGGGGAGGGGAAGGGGCAGCCCCCGCUCUCGCCCCACUGGGGGGACGCUGGUGCUGAUCUGCCCCUGCCCCUCCUCGGCAGGGGGAAACCUGGCUGUGCGGGUCCAAAUCCAUCAGGAUUCGGUCAACGGCACCGAGGGACAGUCCGUGCUCCUGAACGUCUCCUACACGUUUGAUGGGGCCUCUCGCUUCCCACUGCUCAUUCGCUGGAUGUUCCAUAACUCCUCAAAUGUGAUCAUCACCUGCAUAGUGCAGACCUGCUCCCUGGAUGCCAGGGGGGCUCCCAGCAACUGCUCUGCAAGAUAUAUCCCCCACUCCAUGAAACGUGGCCGUGCUGAGGUCUUCCCCGAUAACGGGUCCCUGCUGCUGUGGGACCUGAAGCUCAGUGACAGCGGGGUUUACAACGUCGCCUUCAAAGAGCGACCCCAGAGCUGGCCCAUCACCCUGGCCGUGCACAAGCAGCCUUCCUCCUCUGAGCAUCCACAUGAGGGUAAGUGUAAGGUCCAAUGAGGUCUGGGAGGGUCUGGCAGGCGUUGAGGACCCUCAGCUGCUCUGCUCUGCUCAGGGAUGGCGUUGUACGCGCAGGAGAUGUCCUGUGUGUCCCUGGGGGAGGUAAGAACCCCGGGAGAGGCCGAGCAGGAGGGAAGGUGGGGUGUGGAUUGGGGUCUGGGAGCAGGAUUCAUCCCCACGUCAGGCAGUGGCCGAUGCCAGCCCCGGGGCAUCGCAUGGGAGGAAAGCUCCACAGCAAAGUGUGUCCAAGAGCAUGGCCUUCUCUCCUCCCACAGACCUCGAGUUUGGAGCAGGAGGAGGAAGAAUCCCCUGCUACAUCUUCGGAGGCUGCUACUGCUUCAUCCUGCUCGUCCUGCAACUGCUCCUCCACCUCCCAUGGCUCAGGCCCAGCUCCUGGCAGGUGUCAGACACCGAGUCCCACUCAGUCCCGGACACCGAGCGCCGGCAGAGACGGCCGCAGCCCGGAGCAGCUCCGUUGCGGGGGUGAUGCUGCUCCCCGAAGCCUUUGGGCGCUGCUGAAGAGCAGCCGGGGGAUGUGGGGGAGCUGCGGGAGGUGGGACCCCAAGGGGGGGUUCAUUACAGCAAUGUCUGUGCCCGUGAAAUGCACUGAGCUCUUUCCUGAGCCUCCUUUGCCCAGUGUCUCUCACCCUGGUCCUUCCCUGGCUGCUG
rnacentral:lncRNA from 1 species